rnacentral:rRNA from 1 species
AGCCGAUGAAGGACGUUACUAACGACGAUAUGCUUUGGGGAGCUGUAAGUAAGCGUUGAUCCAGAGAUUUCCGAAUGGGGAAACCCAGCAUGAGUUAUGUCAUGUUAUCGAUAUGUGAAUACAUAGCAUAUCAGAAGGCAGACCCGGAGAACUGAAACAUCUUAGUACCCGGAGGAAGAGAAAGAAAAAUCGAUUCCCUGAGUAGCGGCGAGCGAAACGGGAAGAGCCCAAACCAACAAGCUUGCUUGUUGGGGUUGUAGGACACUCUAUACGGAGUUACAAAAGUAUAUAUUAGACGAAUCAUCUGGAAAGUUGAAUCAAAGAAGGUAAUAAUCCUGUAGUCGAAAAUAUAUACUCUCUUGAGUGGAUCCUGAGUACGACGGAGCACGUGAAAUUCCGUCGGAAUCUGGGAGGACCAUCUCCUAAGGCUAAAUACUCUCUAGUGACCGAUAGUGAACCAGUACCGUGAGGGAAAGGUGAAAAGUACCCCGGAAGGGGAGUGAAAGAGAACUUGAAACCGUGUGCUUACAAGUAGUCAGAGCCCGUUAAUGGGUGAUGGCGUGCCUUUUGUAGAAUGAACCGGCGAGUUACGAUUUGAUGCAAGGUUAAGCAGCUAAUGUGGAGCCGUAGCGAAAGCGAGUCUGAAUAGGGCGUUUAGUAUUUGGUCGUAGACCCGAAACCAGGUGAUCUACCCUUGGUCAGGUUGAAGUUCAGGUAACACUGAAUGGAGGACCGAACCGACUUACGUUGAAAAGUGAGCGGAUGAACUGAGGGUAGCGGAGAAAUUCCAAUCGAACUUGGAGAUAGCUGGUUCUCUCCGAAAUAGCUUUAGGGCUAGCCUCAAGUGAUGAUUAUUGGAGGUAGAGCACUGUUUGGACGAGGGGCCCUUCUCGGGUUACCGAAUUCAGACAAACUCCGAAUGCCAAUCAAUUUAACUUGGGAGUCAGAACAUGGGUGAUAAGGUCCGUGUUCGAAAGGGAAACAGCCCAGACCACCAGCUAAGGUCCCAAAAUAUAUGUUAAGUGGAA